GGCACAGGAAAAAAGCACCACCGAUGUGCUCUGCUUCUAGCAUCAAAAUCAGUAUCAUGCCUGCCGUCAGUUCGAAAACUUAAUUUGAUUUAACGAUGAAAUCAACAAAAUUUGCUCUCUUCUGCAUAAUUCUGUGUUUUCUCGCUCAAUCAGACACAAAGAAAGGAUCCACCAAGAAAUUAGCUGUUGACCGGAACUCUUCCACAGGAAUCAAAACUAAAGGAAAAAUUAUCAGUGUAACCGCCCCUUUGGACCGAAAAAUCAUCAUUAAAACGACCUCAACACGGAGAUCUUACAUAAUUAAAUGCUGUGGCCACAAGAAAUGCUUGAAAUCAAAUAAAAACAGGCAAGUAUAAUUUAAAUUAUUUAAAAUAUUAAAUUGAAGUUAUGACUUCUUCCAGAAAUGGCACAUCAAAACAGAAAAGUGAGAAUUUAAAUUGUUAUAAUUUUCCGAAU